AUUGAACGCUGGCGGCAUGCCUUACACAUGCAAGUCGAACGGUAACAGGUUAAGCUGGCGAGUGGCGAACGGGUGAGUAAUGUAUCGGAACGUGCCCAGUCGUGGGGGAUAACUGCUCGAAAGAGCAGCUAAUACCGCAUGGGACCUGAGGGUGAAAGCGGGGGAUCGCAAGACCUCGCGCGGUUGGAGCGGC
rnacentral:rRNA from 1 species